rnacentral:rRNA from 1 species
AUACGUAGGGGGCGAGCGUUGUCAGGAAUGAUUGGGCGUAAAGGGCGCGUAGGCGGCGCGGUAAGUCUGGAGUGAAAGUCCUGCUUUCAAGGUGGGAAUUGCUUUGGAUACUGCCGCGCUUGAGUGCAGGAGAGGUUAUCGGAAUUCCCGGUGUAGCGGUGAAAUGCGUAGAGAUCGGGAGGAACACCAGUGGCGAAGGCGGGUAACUGGACUGCAACUGACGCUGAGGCGCGAAAGUGUGGGGAGCAAACAGGAUUAGAUACCCUGGUAGUCCACACUGUAAACGAUGAAUGCUAGGUGUAAGAGGUAUCGACCCCUUUUGUGCCGGAGUCAACACAAUAAGCAUUCCGCCUGGGGAGUACGGCCGCAAGGUUGAAACUCAAAGGAAUUGACGGGG